rnacentral:rRNA from 1 species
GCAGUGGGGAAUAUUGGACAAUGGGCGAAAGCCUGAUCCAGCCAUGCCGCGUGUGUGAAGAAGGUCUUCGGAUUGUAAAGCACUUUAAGUUGGGAGGAAGGGCAGUAAAUUAAUACUUUGCUGUUUUGACGUUACCGACAGAAUAAGCACCGGCUAACUCUGUGCCAGCAGCCGCGGUAAUACAGAGGGUGCAAGCGUUAAUCGGAAUUACUGGGCGUAAAGCGCGCGUAGGUGGUUUGUUAAGUUGGAUGUGAAAUCCCCGGGCUCAACCUGGGAACUGCAUUCAAAACUGACAAGCUAGAGUAUGGUAGAGGGUGGUGGAAUUUCCUGUGUAGCGGUGAAAUGCGUAGAUAUAGGAAGGAACACCAGUGGCGAAGGCGACCACCUGGACUGAUACUGACACUGAGGUGCGAAAGCGUGGGGAGCAAACAGGAUUAGA